rnacentral:lncRNA from 1 species
AUGCGCAGCAUCUGGCCACCACCGUCCUAUCAGUAAAGCACCAGAGAACAAGGGUGCUGGGGGCCUCGAGAAACAUUUACAGCAUGAGCGAUGCUACAGAGGCGUUUGAGACCCAUCGCUGCCUAGGGAGAGGGAAAGGUGUAGUCAGAGCCGAGGGCUCCCUGGAAGACCCUUAGGUGCUGCCUCCUGCAGCCCAGGCCCUCUGUGACGUCCCUGUCCUGGGAGUGGUUUUUGCAGUGAGCAACAGGGGGAGAGGGUCAGAAUCCUGGGGCUCUGUGGGGGUGGUCCUCACCCACAGAGAUCCCCAUGCAAGGGCAUCUGGAAGGGACACUGGUCUUUACCGUUCAGGGUGGCAGCGGAAGUCGUGCGACCCCACACUCUGACUCACGCUUCUUCUACCUUUCUAAACUUGGAAGCCGGGCCUGUGUCUGCUGUCUGCCAGGUGAGGACGCAGUGCGAAGAUGGCAGCCUGCGAGCCGGAAAGGGGACUCUCGCGAGACUCUGAGCGAGCUGGCAUCCUGACCUCAGACUUCCGGCCUGCAGACCUGGGGACGUCUGCUGUUUUAGCUGCCUGCCUUGGGGUCUAUCCCUGUGGCAGCCUGAGCUGAGACAGAAGUCAUUUCCUAAGGUCAGAAGCUCAGAAUAAAGAACCAUUUCUACCUAAGUCCAGCGCAGUUUUCCACUCGUGGUGCCUUUUUUGAGAUGGCAGGAACACAGCCCUGUGAGGUCAGAGCUGUCAGAAGCCCCUGAGAAGCAGUGUGCAUUGGGAAGGGGCCCGAGAC